AAUGAACGUUGGCGGCAUGGAUUAGGCAUGCAAGUCGAGCGAGAAGUGUAGCAAUACACGGAAAGCGGCGGAAGGGAGAGUAAUACGUGGGAAUCUGCCCUUAGACCUGGGAUAGCAGCGGGAAACUGCUGGUAAUACCAGAUAAUGUCUAUGGACCAAAGGUGUGAUUCCGUCUAGGGAUGAGCCCACGUCCUAUUAGCUAGUUGGUAGGGUAAUGGCCUACCAAGGCGAUGAUGGGUAGCGGGUGUGAGAGCAUGACCCGCCUCACUGGGACUGCGACACUGACCAGACACCUACGGGUGGCUGCAGUCGAGAAUCUUCGGCAAUGGGCGCAAGCCUGACCGAGCGAUGCCGCGUGCGGGAUGAAGGCCUUCGGGUUGUAAACCGCUGUCGAGGGGGAGCAACUUCCAUAGAGUUAUCUUUAUGGAUUGAGUGAUCCCUGGAGGAAGGACGGGCUAAGUUCGUGCCAGCCGCCGCAGUAAUAC
rnacentral:rRNA from 1 species